rnacentral:tRNA from 1 species
AUUAGCUCAGUUGGUCAGAGCAUGGUGCUAAUAAUGCCACAGUUGUGGGUUCAAUCCCUGUAU